UUAGAGACUUUGAACCAAAUUCCCUCACACUAGUUCCGACAGAUCAACUAACCAUUGUCUGAAUAGGAGCAAUGGACAAGGGUGUGAUAAGGACACCUGUAUUGGACAACGGAUCUAUAUAUGUUACAGCCAAUG